UUUUUUUCUUUUUUUCUUUUUUUCUUUUUUAAUCUUUUUUUUUUUCCAGUUUCAUCUAAUGCAUAUAUAUUUUUACCUCAAUAUUUUUAUCAUUCAUGUUAAAAAGGGUCUGCCAAUGGACUUUAUUUCCCAUUAAUAAUAAUGUUUAAUGUUUUAGAGUAUACGUCUAUGCUAGCAUUUCAAAGUUGGACACUUAGAAUACAAUUUAGAAUACAAACUACAUAUUUUUGACCAGGAAUUAUAUAUUAUAUUCAGUGAAGGACAACUAUCAUACCUCAUUUUAUGGCUUUUUUGUGUUUAUUCAGAAUUGAUUCUAUCCCCAAACACUUGGUAUGUUAGAAUUUAUGGCUCUGUUCUUAAGUCCCAAGUCAGGCCUAACUAGAACCAGAGCUCUUCUUUAGUUAUGUAGUUCACUGACUUCUGAUUUUAUUGUUCAGAUUUUGGGGAACAGAGAUUUGGGUAUCAAAGAAAUCUGUACAAAAUUAAGCAUUCUCAUCUUAAACAUUUGGAUUAUGUAAACAGACUGAAUACUUAAUUAUUGCAAGGUAGAUCAAAUAUCUGUCUAAUAACUAACCUAGCACAGCAAUAUGAGUUCCAUUAUAAUAAUUUGGCACAUAAUUUCUCUGAUUACUAACAUUAAUAAUUUCUAAUUUGAUAAACUGAUACCAUGACACACAUUCAAACUUUGGUGUAUCUUUAAAGCUUACUACAGAAACUUCUUUCAUGCUAUGGUAGGAGCAAUAUGUACAUGUGAGUGGUGUGUUAAAGGUGUGUGGUACACAUGGAGCUACAAUUUAUAUUUUUAAGACUAUUUUAAUUGAUUUUAUAUACAAUGUUUUGACUUAUGUAAUUUUCUAUGUUAAUACUUUUAGAAAUUGUUUGUGGCGAGCAUGUUUGAGUAUCAUAUGGUUCCUAGAGGUUGUCAUUCCUGUAUUUCUUUGAUACUCUGGUAUUUUGUUGACUUUCGUUGAGAGUCCAAACCACAUGUCUCGUGCUGUAAUUCCAACUCAGAUGGAACUCCCAUUGACCUAUAGCAGGAAUUCCUCAAAGAGGAAGGAUUGCGGAGCUAAACCAAAUAUAACUGAACUGUCUAAACAGUUAAAUAAGGCAGUAAUACAUCCAGCUGGUUACUACUUGCAUUCUUUUAUUCCAGUUUUUUAUUAAAUAAACUUUCUCAAGAUUUCCGCUUAUAGGAGAAGAGAGUUUCCAUUUAUACAUUAUAAAAUAGUACCUUAUAUCUGAUCGUUCCUUUUCUCCAGCCUCCAGAGUAAAGUGGGAGGUUUUCUUUGUUGUUCACUGUUUAUUCAUAUGGUAAAUAAAAUGGGCUUAGGAGUCUGGAUAUGCUUAAACAACUGUAACAUUGAGUUUUAUUCUGCCAUCCAUCUGACUAUAAACCAUUCAGGAAAAACAGAUCUUUAUCCAAAGUUUAAAAUGUAUUCAGUCAUGGGUUGUACUAAUUAAGUUUUAUUGCAGUGUCUGCAGAAUCAGCAUUGAUUUUAACAUUUCUGAAACAGUGGCCAAUGGCUAGAUGACCAUUUCCUCAGUAUCCACUGUGAGAAUAUUGCUGUAAUAUGUUGCAAAUUUUACAUAUUUAUUUUCUUUUUUAAUGUUACCUAAACCAAAGUCUUUGUUGUUUUUAUUUUAAUCAGUAAAUUUACCAAAGAACUGUUUGCACUGUAUAAUGAAUGCUUUUUCAGUUAAAAUAAAAUGGGCCACAUUUCC
rnacentral:lncRNA from 1 species